AGCUUUGCGCAGUGGCAGUAUCGUAGCCAAUGAGGUUUAUCCGAGGCGCGAUUAUUGCUAAUUGAAAACUUUUCCCUAAAAUGCUGAUCAAGAUAACAGGAUGAUUAAAGGGGAUGCAGGAAACUAGCCUUUUAAACUUUCUCCAAAG
ensembl:snRNA U4 U4 spliceosomal RNA